rnacentral:rRNA from 1 species
UACAGAGGUCUCAAGCGUUGUUCGGAUUCAUUGGGCGUAAAGGGUGCGUAGGCGGCGCGGUAAGUCGGGUGUGAAAUCUUGGAGCUUAACUCCGAAACUGCAUUCGAUACUGCCGUGCUUUGAGGACUGGAGAGGAGACUGGAAUUUACGGUGUAGCGGUGAAAUGCGUAGAUAUCGUAAGGAAGACCAGUGGCGAAGGCGGGUCUCUGGACAGUUCCUGACGUGAGGCACGAAGGCCAGGGGGAGCAAAACGGGG